AGAUUGAACGCUGGCGGCCAGGCCUAACACAUGCAASUCGAGCGGAAACGAGUUAUCUGAACCUGGGGAACGAUAACGGCGUCGAGCGGCGGACGGGUGAGUAAUGCCUAGGAAAUUGCCUUGAUGUGGGGGAUAACCAUUGGAAACGAUGGCUAAUACCGCAUGAUGCCUACGGGCCAAAGAGGGGGACCUUCGGGCCUCUCGCGUCAAGAUAUGCCUAGGUGGGAUUAGCUAGUUGGUGAGGUAAUGGCUCACCAAGGCGACGAUCCCUAGCUGGUCUGAGAGGAUGAUCAGCCACACUGGAACUGAGACACGGUCCAGACUCCUACGGGAGGCAGCAGUGGGGAAUAUUGCACAAUGGGCGCAAGCCUGAUGCAGCCAUGCCGCGUGUAUGAAGAAGGCCUUCGGGUUGUAAAGUACUUUCAGCAGUGAGGAAGGGGGUGUCGUUAAUAGCGGCAUCUCUUGACGUUAGCUGCAGAAGAAGCACCGGCUAACUCCGUGCCAGCAGCCGCGGUAAUACGGAGGGUGCGAGCGUUAAUCGGAAUUACUGGGCGUAAAGCGCAUGCAGGUGGUUUGUUAAGUCAGAUGUGAAAGCCCGGGGCUCAACCUCGGAACUGCAUUUGAAACUGGCAAACUAGAGUACUGUAGAGGGGGGUAGAAUUUCAGGUGUAGCGGUGAAAUGCGUAGAGA
rnacentral:rRNA from 1 species